ensembl:lncRNA novel transcript
AGGGACUUUCUGUAACUUCUGAAGCUGUCUCAUAAGAAGCCUUGCAGAUUCUGCUCAUGUCUCUUUCCUCUCUGGGAAACAAGUCGCGACUCAGGGAUAAGCCUGAGACACAUGGAGAGAACAUCCUGAUCAAUCUGGUCUUUGCUGCUACCCUGGUCAACAGCCUGAGCUGGAUACCUGGCUGACAAGUACCACCUUUUUCCUACACAGAUGACAACCCAGCCCAUGAGCACCAGUUUUGCAGCCACAUCAGUUUCUGAUUAGACUUACAAUUUAAGUGGGGAAGUGACUUUGGAAGAGACAUGCGUGCUGUCAGCAGAUGGGAGAGAGGAUGGAGAAAGAUGGAGGGAGGCUGCUGUAACACCUGUUCUGGUUGGGAUUCUGAAUGAAUAUGAAAGGUGUUGAUUUCCAAGAAAGAUCUUGUUCUUCAAACUCUGUUACAGCGUCUUCUCUGGAGAAGUCAACAGUGAGAUGGGCUAAAUGAAGAAGGAGCAGCUUAUUGUCUUUGUUGGUUUUCUUUAUUUUCCUUCGAAGCAUCUGGGGGAAGAGGAAGACAAUGGAUGAGAUGGCGUAUGUUCUUUCCGCCCUGUGAAUGAAUCAGAUUUGAACUCCUAAGCAAAAUAGAAAAUGCAGAAAUGGUGCUCAGGCAAAACCUGAGAGACACCGGGCUCAAGCGACUCUCCUCUGAAGUCCAUCUGAUAAAGUCUGAAUUAUGGAUAAGUCCUUUCCCCCUCAAUAGUCUACUGCUUACUAAAGUGUAGCUCAAUGACUCUGUGGGCUUGGGUAAUCAGCAGGUAAGCAUAGCUAUGCCCAAUGAAGCAGGGGCUGUGAGAAGAAGCCUUGAAGAGUACCUAAAGUAGAAAAUAAGUGAACUUUCUCCUAAGCCCAUAGGAAACAUCACUAUCCUGCUGAAGGCAGGGCAGAGGGAACACAGCAGAGUAGGCUCAGAAUAACUGGGAUUUGGGCACUGAUAUUAAUGUCACCAUAUCUACACUUAUUGAUUGUUGAGAUUAUACAUUUGGCUUGAAACCACAGGAACUAAUAUACUCUAAAUAUAAGCUGAGAAAAAUUAAAAAUAACCACAACUACAACAGUAGAAAGAGAAAAUAUAUGAAUGCCAAGAAUCUAAUGUGUAAAUUAACUACAAGGGUUUAGAAGUUUUGGGCAUCUCCCUGGGGAUUAGCUGUGCUCAGUCUCCCCUCCAGGAAAUCAUUUACAACUCUAUGUCUGUUACCCCAAAAUGACUUAAAUGAAGUUUAGGAUAAGACAGAGACAAGUUCAGAACAAGACAUGGGUGAGGUUCAGAAGAAUGAAAUUGAAAUUAUAUGAAUUUCCAAUUGUUAGAGAUGCAUGAGUGAGAUACAGGUUUUCAAGUGUUGUGAUGUCAUACCAUAAAAUGAUUAUAAACAUUUAGGAAACAAUCUCUCCUGUGGAAUCAGGAAUCAUUACUAAAUAUCACAAUUAUAGUGGAGACGCUGAAGAAGUCAAUAUAUGUGUUCUGAAAAACUUGAUUAAAUAAACUUCAAGGACACAGAGAAAGGCGCUGUGAUCUGUUCUCUGCAAAGGGCCUGAUAUAUUUAGAUUUUCAUUAAGAUGGGCUGAAACACAAAAUGUCUUCAGUUAUCCAGGAAAUGUAAUUAACCACUUCUUAAGAUUUCUACUUAAUCAAUGCUAUUUUUCCCCAUAUUUGGUUAAUUGAACUGUCUGCCUCCACUAUAGUCUGAGGUAUGUGGCUAAUUUUGGCCAGCAAUAUCAAGGACAUGAAACUCAAGGUAAUUUUUUUCCCUCCAAAAUAGCCUCUAUAUUUUCGCUGUAAAUCCUUAUCCUAUUCUCUGUGAAAUAAGCCUUCAAUUAACAGCCAUAAUUAAAUAAUAUAUUUAAAAAUUAAGAUAAAAUAUGCUGAAGUAGUGAGCAUUACUUAGAAAUGGUAUGAAAAUAAUUUGCAGUCAGAACAACCUAAAUUUGAAUUCUUGCUCUUUCAAGUUAUAGCUAAUCUUGGGCAAGCUAUUUCUCAGUUUCUUCCUCUGUCGAAUGGAGCUAAUAUUAAUUUCUGCUUAAUAGUGUUCUUGUGAGACUACAGGUAAUGUUUGGAUAGCAUCAGUCAUAGAGUAGACAUAUAAUAAAAUGUUACUAUUUUUAUUAUUUUCACUAUUAUUAUUACCAUUUUUAUUGUUAGUCUUUUAAACUGCAGGCAAAUAUCAAGAGUAUCUCUUAAUUGUAUGCGUAUAAGAUGAUCUUACAUAUCUCAAGGACUAUUGGUAUGUCCAUGUUUUAAAAGUAUAUUAUCAGCUGGGCACGGUGGCUCAUGCCUGUAAUCCCAGCACUUUGGGAGGCCGAGGUGGGCAGAUCACGAGGUCAGGAGUUCGAGACCAUCCUGGCCAACAUGGUGAAACUCUGUCUCUACUAAAAAUAUAAAAAUUAGCUGGGCUGGUGGCAGAUGCCUGUAAUCCCAGCUACUCAGGAGGCUGAGACACAAGAAUCGCUUGAACCCGGGAGGCAGAGGGUGCAGUGAGCCCAGAUUGCACCAUUGCACUCCACCCCGGGUAACAGAGCGAGACACCGUCUCAAGGAAAAAAAAAAGUGUAUUAUUAAAGUAAGAAUACCUGGCUUGUAUGGCCAAGACAAGCAGAAUAAUGUGGAAAGCUCUUUCCAUCAAGCUGCUCAGUAUGUCCUUGAUAAAUUCUGUGCUGAUCCUACUUUGAGCAUUUCUGUGGACUUCGCUGCAAGGACCCUGGUCCUUUGAGAUAUUUGUUUUAGGAAGUACUGCCAUUUCCAUCUCUAGCUGGGUUAUGACGACUAUAUAGCCAACGUUUCUCUCCUAGAUGCUAGCACUGCUAUAAUUAAGUAAAGAAAGGAAAGUUCCUUUGUUCUUCACCCAGCAGGUUACUUGACAGCCUUCUAAGUGCCAAGCGCUCUGCUGGUUGUUGGAGACACACCAAUUGCCCUCAAAGAAUGCACAGACGAAUGUAGGAUAGGAUUCAACAACAACAACAAAACCCUUGCAUUUUAAAAGACAGAGUUUGGUCCUCCAGUAUAACUUAGGGUUUGCUUUUAUUAGGUGCUUGAUUUGGGGCAAGUAAUUUGACUGGUCCCAUACUCACUUUUCUCACGUUUAAAAUUAGCACCUACCACAGCAGUCAGGAGGACCACAUAAGCUAAUGUGAAUAUAGUGCGUAUAGCAGUGUUUUGUGCAUACUAAGAAUGUAGUAAAUACUAAUAGCAGUAGUAAUAAUUAAAAUGAUUAUUAUACCAAUAAUUAUUAGUUUUACUAUUUGUUCAAAAUAUUUCAAACAGAACAGGAAUGGGGAAGGGUAUCAAAUAUUGAGGCAGGAGAAGUAAACAAAGGCUGGAUUAUGAAGGGUUUCAUGGAGCCCAAAGGGUAGAUGGAGGAUUAUGAUAGAGUUUUACAAAGAGGAGUUUUGAACAGUAGAAAACAACUUAGCCUUCUACUUCUGACAGAUUAUUUGCCCCUUGGGUGGGAUGUAAGUGCCUGCAAGUUCAGGAUUGGUCCAUUCUCAUGACCCACAGGUGUCUUCCUCCUUGAUGUGUCAUGAAAAAUUAAAAUGAGGACAGUUCAGUCAACAGAGUGUCUGUGAAAUUAAUGAACCCCUUUGCCUUCAACACCUGGUAAUUAUAUCUUUCAAUUAAAUUAACUCUCUAGCUGUCUACAAUCUUAUAAAUUAACUCACAGUCUUAUAUCUUUCUAAGCAGCCAGAUCUUUUCACAACUCAAACCUGAGGGGCCAGAGAUACAAAGCAGGGUCAGGGAAGGCAAAUGAAAGGACCUCAUUCACUUUUCUGCUUGUCACAGAAAAACUUGAGUCUCUACUUUCUCAGCUUGGUCACUAGAGCCAAAAAGGUAUGUUUUUGUGUCACUGAUGAUCUAUUUGGUCUGUAUUUGAGCAUAUCUCAUGGCUCACUGGAAAGGGAGAAUUGAACUAGUAAAGUCUGCUGUUGAGUAUUACUCAUAUAAAUUCAUUCAUUCACUCACUCAUUUAUUCAAUUCUUGAGAACAAGGAAAUCUAGAGAUAAAAAAAAUUGUCACUCUGUUGACUGAACUGUCCUCAUUUUAAUUCUUUGAGGCACUGAUGAUCUCUGAAGUGAGCGAAAAAUACAAACUGGUUAAAAAUCAGGAAGUGAACUUGCAUAUUCACCAAUUCUUUCAGCGGAUAAUUUUUGAGUUCUAAACAUGUGGAAAGCACGGAACAUUAUAAUAGGGGAAGUACAGGAAGAUAUAGGACAGUGUAGCAGAGGGUUUUCCACUGGUCUCGGGCUUAGUGAACCACUCCAUAAAGUGACAUUUGCUCCAGGACCUGAAGAGUUGAGAGAACAAAAGUGUCUAACAGCGUAGGCAGGGGGAGCAGGGGAAGUUCAUAGAACAGGGAGUUUAGUAGAGCUGGAGCAGAGAGUAAGUUGGAGAGGUAAAAUGAUGAAAUGAGCAGGGUCAGACUAUGGAGGGUCUUGUAAUGAUGUUUAGGAGUUUUAAGUUUUCUCUUAAAAGCAAAGAGAAGCUGUGUAAGGAUAUUAAGCUAAGGAGUUUUCAUGACCCUUGUGGUCAUAGUAUUUUUCAUGUGCUCUUUAAGUGAUCACUUUACUUGCAAUGUAAGGAAGUGUCUCGAAGGCAAUAAAACUGGAAAUGGAAAGACAAUUUUGAAGAUCCUUGUGCAAGUGCAAGAGGGCUAGGAUAGGUACCGAGGAGAUAGAGAGAAAUGUAGAGAUUCACUGAGCAGGUGAAUGACUAGAGGUGGCAGGUAGGAAGAGGAAACUAUAAAGAUGAUGACUGCCUUCCUGGUUUAUGUCACAGAGCAGCUGCAAAAUAUUUUAACUUCUACUCCUCUUUGAAAAGCGUCCCCAAAAUACAGGCAACAGAGCCCCGAAGAACGCAGGUGGCAAUUAAAAUGUAUUGCAGUUCUAUCAAAUGGAUUGUCAGGAGAGACUUCUUUGAUAAUCUGCAAAUAGAACCCAAGCAUUGAAACUACUGGGUAUAGAUUUAGUCUUCUUUUUAGGAAUAUGUAACAUAGAUGAACAGAAAGGAAUAAACCAAAGAAUUUUUAUGGAAAAUAUGAAUAGUAAUUUCAUAAUUCUUACCUCCUUUUAUCACCCUAAGCAAUGCUCUAAGCUUGAUAUACAGAUGAGGAAACAUUUGAAAAGUUAAAGUGAAUUGGUGUACACAAGUUUUUAACUUAGCUCUUCCUAAUUCGAGUCCCUGGCUCUUUCUAGAUGAACACACUUUUCUAUCAUCAGCCACAAGUAUUUAGGUAGAACUUACUAUGUAUGCAGAUCUGUUAAGACAUGUGAAGUUUAGGUUUGUCACAGCCAUGGCUUCGUCGAUUGAUUAGUCUUGAAGCUGAAAUGGCAAAAAUGCCCCCGAGAGAAAAUACAUUGAAGCAAUCAAUUAUUUCUUUUGUACCUCCUACGACAAUGUAAAACAGGCAAGGCUUCUUAGAGUAAGAAUUCCAGAGAGCAGCAUGUAUGGCCUUCCAAUCUCAUCCUCUGUACAUUGUAAUGUCAUUUGUUCAUAGUGCUGGGACAUUCUACUUGCUGUGGCUUUUCCUAGCACUCAUGAACUAGCACCGAGAAAUGUGAUCUCUAGGCUUCAGACCCCAAGAUCAUUCCCCUUGUCUCCAGAACCUCCCUGAUAUUUUUCAUUACUACUUAACUCUCAGAAUUGUCUGAGCUCUGGUUUUCCUAUCUGGUCUGCGUCUCAGGAGAAAAAAUUGCAACUCAAGUUUAUUGACCUUGUCAAUUUAUACAAGGAACUCAAAAAAUGUUUUUAUUGGACAUUAUAUAACUGAACACUUAUUGGAGCAAAAGUGUGGAAGUCCAGACCCAGGGCUGUGUUCUAUCUAGGUUAAACAUGACAGAAUGACACAGAAAGUAAUGUGGGUAAAUAAAAACAAAUGAUAAAUCUACAAUCAUCUUUAAAAUCAAAGGCUAAAUCCCAGCUGUCCUACUUCUUAACCCUAAGACCAUAGCCUAUUUAUCUAACUUCUCUGAGUCUCGGUUUUCCUAUCUGUGAAAUGGGAUUAUUAAAGAGGACUCAGUAAAAACAACGCAUGUGAAGCUUCUGGCACAAAACCUAGCACAAUGAUAGGAAGCUGUUUUACUCACGUUAAUCCAUACAUUGAUUUUGUUGUCUCUGCUAUCCAGAAUCCACCCCUAUUUGCUCUCAACAAUUAAUUUGUGAAUUACAGCAACUAUGGUUGUUUAAUUAUAUCAUUUUAUUGACUUUUUCAGUUUAAUAAUAUAAUGAUAUACUUGGCUAACAUUCGAAUAUCUACUUUGUACCAUGCACUGAAUUUAAUGUUUCACAUGCAUCUAUCGCUAGGGAUGAUUACAAUAUUCAGAUGAUGCAUAACUGUUGUUAUUGCCCACCCACUUCUUUUUGAAGAUGAGGAAACUGGAGCUCACACAUGUUGAAUUAUCUAAGAUUGCAACAUUUUAAAAAUCCAGAAAAUGGAAUUAAAAGCCAUGGCUGCUUUACUUAGUAACCUUACACUAUACAAACUAUUACUAGUUUAUAAUAUUAUUUAAAAUAAUUUCACAGGUCUUUCCCCUAAUUUGGACUUUUUUCUUUUAAUUGGAGAUUCAAUAUCUUCAGUGCAAAUCAAUAAGCACUCUGGAGAAUACAUCAAUGAGACUAUUGUGAGGGUACAUCUUGUGUACGCUUGUGAGGGUCUUUCCUAAGCAGGAGGAGAUGGCUGUAUAAAAGGAUUACUGUUACUUAUUUCUAUAUUUUUCCUAAAGAAAAGCAGGAACUACAUUAAUUCUAGAUUGAGAUCAGAAACUACUUACCUUACAGGACACGUGUUGUGUGCAGCCACAGGUUUCAGAAGCAGAUGGCAUGUGCUAAAGAGUGUAUGUAUGAAUUAGCUCUGGGAAUAACUUCUGCUCCAGGUAUAAAAGAAAUUAGGAGGAGAGCCAAAUUAAAAUUGGGCAAUAGGCCUAUGCAGAGUGGUACUUUUAUAUCUCCUUUUCCUAUUGUGUGUAUGUGUGUGUGUAGAGUGCGUGUGUCUGCAUGUACUGAAAGCACACAAACACAAAUAGACCCCUACCUGUAGGUUUUAUACAUUUACAUUGUACUCCAGAAAAAUAAAAAUGAUUUUUUUUUCUUGACAUUUACAGUCUCAGAUUAACAGACGUGUGUAGGAUUUCAGUCCCAUUUGAAUACACCCGAUGGAUGUACGACCUUGAGAAAUUUACUUAACACUUCCAGGUCAGCCCGGCGUGGUGGCUUAUGCCUGUAUUUCCAGCACUUGGGGAGGCCAAGCCGGGUGGAUCACGAGGUCAGGAGUCCGAGACCAGCCUGGCCAACAUGGUGAAAACCUGUCUCUACUAAAGAUACAAAAAUUAUCUGGGUGUGGUGGUGGGCGCCUGCAAUUCCAGCUACUCGGGAGGCUGAGGCAGGAGAAUCAUUUGAACCUGGGAGGCAGAGGUUGCAGUGAGCCAAGAUCACACCAUUGCACUCCAGCGGGGGCAACAGGGCUAGACUGCCUCUCAAAACAAACAAACAAACAAACAAACAAACAAAAACAUUUCGGGGUCAAAUGUUUGUCACCUAAAAACAAAGCCAUUGAGCAUAAGAAGAACAUAAUGGACUUUGGGGACUCAGGAGGAAAGUGUGGGAAGGGGAUGAGGGAUAAAAGACGACAAAUAUGGUGCUGUGUAUACUGCUCUGGUGAUGGGUGCACCAAAAUCUCACAAAUCACCACAAAAGAACUUACUCAUGUAACCAAAUACCACCUGUUUCCCAA